GGGUUCCUUCGGGAACCUUGUACAGUGGCGGACGGGUGAGUAACACGUGAUCAAUCUGCCCUGGAGGCGGGGAUAGCCAUUCGAAAGGAUGGGUAAUACCUGAUAAGACCACAGCAUCGCAUGGUGCAGUGGUAAAAUGGUGGGGAUCUUCGGACCUUCCACUCCAGGAUGAGAUCGCGGCCUAUUAGCUUGUUGGUGAGGUAACGGCUCACCAAGGCGAUGAUGGGUAGCCGGCCUGAGAGGGUGAACGGCCACACUGGAACUGAGACACGGUCCAGACUCCUACGGGAGGCAGCAGUGCUGAAUCAUUCGCCAAUGCGCGAAAGCGUGACGGUGCGACGCCGCGUGAAGGAUGAAGGCCCUCGGGUUGUAAACUUCUGUCAGGUUCUAGAAAACUGUAGGAGAUAAUACCUCCUGCACUGAUCAGAACCAAAGGAAGCACAGGCUAAUCUCGUGCCAGCA
rnacentral:rRNA from 1 species